rfam:Pan troglodytes isolate Yerkes chimp pedigree #C0471 (Clint) chromosome 3, whole genome shotgun sequence.
GCUGGGCGUGGUGGCUCACACCUGUAAUCCCAGCACUUUGGGAGGCUGAGGCAGGAGGAUCACCUGAGGUCAGGAGUUUGAGACCAGCCUGGCCAACAUGGUGAAAUCCUGUCUCUA